GAUGAACGCUGGCGGCGUGCCUAAUACAUGCAAGUCGAGCGAACGGACGAGAAGCUUGCUUCUCUGAUGUUAGCGGCGGACGGGUGAGUAACACGUGGAUAACCUACCUAUAAGACUGGGAUAACUUCGGGAAACCGGAGCUAAUACCGGAUAAUAUUUUGAACCGCAUGGUUCAAAAGUGAAAGACGGUCUUGCUGUCACUUAUAGAUGGAUCCGCGCUGCAUUAGCUAGUUGGUAAGGUAACGGCUUAGCAAGGCAACGAUGCAUAGCCGACCUGAGAGGGUGAUCGGCCACACUGGAACUGAGACACGGUCCAGACUCCUACGGGAGGCAGCAGUAUGGAAUCUUCCGCAAUGGGCGAAAGCCUGACGGAGCAACGCCGCGUGAGUGAUGAAGGUCUUCGGAUCGUAAAACUCUGUUAUUAGGGAAGAACAUAUGUGUAAGUAACUGUGCACAUCUUGACGGUACCUAAUCAGAAAGCCACGGCUAACUACGUG
rnacentral:rRNA from 1 species